UCAUUUUUGCAUGAACUAACCCUUUGAACUCCAGCACAGCCACAACAACCAUAAUGAAAUGACCCUUCACAAUAGAUAAUGCUUUACAGUGAACUCUGUUAGAGAGCUACAUAUGGCAAGUAUAUCUGUUCAAUAACAGAUAAACAACGCCUUACUCACCUGCCGAGUAAUAAAAACUCCAUUACCUCCGCAUCGCUUUUACAACAUUUCAAAUCCCUCAGUUCUUGCCAAUGUUGAUUCUUGUUUUAUUACGAGCUCUGUUGCAUUCUCUUUUUGCCAGCAGACUCUUCUCUGUUCGGUGUUUGUUUAAAACGUGAUUUCCUGGAGUUUUAUCAUUUAUCUCCAUAUCAACCUUUCUCGCUCAUUGUGACAACUAACCUCUGCCACUCCCACACCAGACACGCGUCAAAGCAGCCGGAGAAACUUUUCUCUGUUCACGGAUAUGACAAGACGCGCACAAAGUAUGCACAGUUUUUCUACAUCCAGAGACAGAAGAAUGUUGGACCGCCUUACUUGACAUCUUAGACAUGUAUUCUUAAGAGCACACCUCCUUGAUUUAUGUUAUACAGAUGAUAAAGGGCGUGUAGAGGAAAUCGUGACAUCAUCCAGUUAUUCCAGUGAGCAUAAGUCUUAAUGCAUUUAAUGGAGUUCUAAAGAAUUCUCUGCAACAAAAUCUGUUCCAAAAUGUCAAAGCUUGGUCCAUAUAUACAAGAAUUACUCAGUAAGUGGAAUAACAUUACUGUCCUCCAGAAAGGCCUGACAUGAACC